rnacentral:lncRNA from 1 species
AAAGUUGAAAAAAUUUGCAAGCAAAGUCAUAGACACAUGAUAAGAUGGUCCUAACUUUCUCAUUUUCAAAGGAAACUCAAAUAACAAUUAUGCAGUAAACUUUCCAAUGUAUGUUGAUGAUGAUAGAAUUAUAUUUUUAUAAUUUCAUCUCUUAUUGGAAGAACUCAUUUUUAGUUCUUAGAAAACUUUAAUUUUCCAUUAGAGAUGAUGAUUGAUAAGAAAUUUUUUCUUCCUCCUCCAAUUUAUUAGCAAUUACAAUAAUUUCCUAAAACAAUCAAUUUUGUAUGAUUCACAAAAUCAGCUCCUUUUUUUUUUUUUUUCAUUUUCGUUUUUUACCUAACACUAAAUUUUCUCAGCAACCAAAUAAACAAGUUGCAACUUUAUUUUUUAUUUUUUUACCUUCAUUCAAUAUCACUUCCAUCUCUUCAACUUUUACCAUCAACUCCUCAUUUUCGUCUCUCGGUUCUUCAAAGAAAGGGCCCAACAACUUGAUUCUACAAACCAAAUAUCUCUUUCACUAACUCAGCUAGUUCGACUCAGCAGCAAUUGACCUUUGAAUCACGUGUAAGUCUCAUGAUCCUUCAAACACAACAUUUCUUAUUUCAAAGAAUUCGGAAAUUGAAGGGAAAUUGUGAAAGUUUUGGUCUUUUUAUACGAAUAGAAACGGAAAAGGGAAGAGAGGAGAGAAAUCAAAAAAAGGAAGAAGAAGGUAGAAAUUGAGAGAAAGAAGCAAACAAACACAUUCAUUCAAUAACCUCCUCUCCGCUAUAGACUUAGCGAAAAAGAG